GUCUCGUUAGCGCAGUAGGCAGCGCGUCAGUGUCAUAAUCAUAUGUAGAAAUCUGAAGGUCAUGAGUUCGAUCCUCACACGGGGCA
rfam:Nematostella vectensis strain CH2 x CH6 NEMVEscaffold_2039_Cont39999, whole genome shotgun sequence.